UAACACGCCCCCCUGGACUGAGACACAGAUCCCAACUACUUACGGAGGCAUCAUCGGGAAUCAGCCCAGUGGUGCUAUCUGAUGCAGCCAUCCGCUUUUUUUAUAAGGCCUUCGGAUUUCAAGUACUUUCAGCGGGGAGAAGGUGUUAUGAUAAUAACCGCAUGCUAUUGUCGUUGCCCGCAGAAGAAGCACCGGCUUAUUCCGUGCCAGCAGCCGCGGUCAUCCGGAGGGCGCUAGCGUUAAUCGCAAUUACUGGGCGUAAAGCGCUAGCAGGCGGUCUGUCAAGUCGGAUGUGAAAUCGCCGGGCUCAACCUGGGUAUUGCAUUCGAAUCUGGCAGGCUAGAGUCUUGUAGAGGGGGGUAGAAUUCCAGGUGUAGCGGUGAAAUGCGUAGAGAUCUGGAGGAAUACCGGUGGUGAAGGCGGCCCCCUGGACAAAGACUGACGCUCAGGUGCGAAAGCGUGGGGAGCAAACAGGAUUAGAUACCCUGGUAGUCCACGCCGUAAACGAUGUCGACUUGGAGGUUGUUCCCUUGAGGAGUGGCUUCCGGAGCUAACGCGUUAAGUCGACCGCCUGGGGAGUACGGCCGCAAGGUUAAAACUCAAAUGAAUUGACGGGGGCCCGCACAAGCGGUGGAGCAUGUGGUUUAAUUCGAUGCAACGCGAAGAACCUUACCUACUCUUGACAUCCAGAGAACUUAGCAGAGAUGCUUUGGUGCCUUCGGGAACUCUGAGACAGGUGCUGCAUGGCUGUCGUCAGCUCGUGUUGUGAAAUGUUGGGUUAAGUCCCGCAACGAGCGCAACCCUUAUCCUUUGUUGCCAGCGGUCCGGCCGGGAACUCAAAGGAGACUGCCAGUGAUAAACUGGAGGAAGGUGGGGAUGACGUCAAGUCAUCAUGGCCCUUACGAGUAGGGCUACACACGUGCUACAAUGGCGCAUACAAAGAGAAGCGAACUCGCGAGAGCAAGCGGACCUCAUAAAGUGCGUCGUAGUCCGGAUUGGAGUCUGCAACUCGACUCCAUGAAGUCGGAAUCGCUAGUAAUCGUAGAUCAGAAUGCUACGGUGAAUACGUUCCCAGGCCUUGUACACACCGCCCGUCACACCAUGGGAGUGGGUUGCAAAAGAAGUAGGUAGCUUAACCUUCGGGAGGGCGCUACCACUUUAUCUACGUAAAAAAAAAAAAACAACCC
rnacentral:rRNA from 1 species